rnacentral:rRNA from 1 species
UAGGGAAUUUUCGUCAAUGGGGGAGACCCUGAACGAGCAAUGCCGCGUGUGUGAAGAAGGUCUUCGGAUCGUAAAGCACUGUUGUAAGUGAAGAAUGCCAUAUAGAGGAAAUGCUAUGUGGGUGACGGUAGCUUACCAGAAAGCCACGGCUAACUACGUGCCAGCAGCCGCGGUAAUACGUAGGUGGCAAGCGUUAUCCGGAAUCAUUGGGCGUAAAGGGUGCGUAGGUGGCACGAUAAGUCUGAAGUAAAAGGCAACAGCUCAACUGUUGUAUGCUUUGGAAACUGUCGAGCUAGAGUGCAGAAGAGGGCGAUGGAAUUCCAUGUGUAGCGGUAAAAUGCGUAGAUAUAUGGAGGAACACCAGUGGCGAAGGCGGUCGCCUGGUCUGUAACUGACACUGAUGCACGAAAGCGUGGGGAGCAAAUAGGAUUAGAUACC